rnacentral:lncRNA from 1 species
CCUGACAGCACCCGGAACCCAUCCCUCGCCGCUGACAGUGCUGCACCCCAUGGUGCCACCAACCCAUCCCAGACAAAGCAGGGAGCCGCGGAGAAGGAGCAGGGAGGUCUGGAGGAUUCCCGGUGGGGUACAAGUCCUCGCCACUUACCGCAGAGACCUGUCUCGUCCUCCACCAUCACGUUGAAGCCACUACGGCUUCUCCAAAGAAACUAGCUCUGACCGCGCCGCCGCCUACGCCGACUUCCCUCAGGCCGGGCUGGGCCGCUGACUUCCCUGUGGCCAGGCCGGGCUGGCUGGAGCCCGCUGCCACCGCCGCUGCCUCCGACUUCUCGAGGGCCCGGAGGCCUUCUAUAGGGGAACUCACGCUGACAGGCACUCGCCUCAAGGCUGAAGCACCACACCCUCUUAAAGGGGCCGCAGCUCAGCCUGGCUAGAAUAGCUUCGGGUUGGAUGAGAGCAAGUUUUAGGUUAGCCAAUCAGACCAUAGAAAUAAAGCCCAGUUAGAGUAGACCUUGAAGUUCGCUCGCAUCCAAUCCGAACAUGUAGUCUAGGAACCCCGAAUAUAAAGGAUGCCAAGCAGGAGUCUCGCCAUUUCAGACAUGGGCCCACCUGCUCCGAGCUGGCUUCGAGGAGAAAUGGGAGUAGCCGACCACCGCCCAUGCUGGAGGCUAGAGUCUGUCUUAUGGGCUCUGCUCGCCUCGCUGUUGCAGUUGUUGGCACUGACGGAGACUACAGGGCAGCUAGAAAGCUUCUUAAACAUGCUAAGUUCACUCCUAUUGACAACUGAAUGCAACGUCGGAUCCUGGAUUAGAUCUUAGCCCAGAAUAGGUCUUCAGUGGAAGAACUGGCAAAAUUUGAAUAAGGUCUCUGGUUUCGUGAAUGGUAGCGUGAUGUUCAUUUCCUGAUUUUGAUCAUUGGAGUAAUAGUGAGAUACUAACAUUUGGGAAAACACAAUAAAGGGUAUAUGGACAUCUCUACUAUUUUUGUAACUUUUGUAAGUUAAAAUUGUUUCAAAAUGAGUUAAAAAAUUAAAAGGAAGUUUUCUCUUUCAGCUGGGAAAAUGGCAAUGAAUUAAUAUGACGGUGAAGUGAUGACUAAAAUUCUACAUUGCUCCGAAAGCAAGUAAGAAAAUCAGUGGUCAUAGAGAAGUUCUUUCA